rnacentral:rRNA from 1 species
UGAGGAAUAUUGGUCAAUGGGAGCAAUCCUGAACCAGCAAUGCCGCGUGUGGGAUGACGGGGCUCAGCCCUGUAAACCACUGUCGGACGGGACGAAAGGAGCCUUCAGGGCUCUGGGACGGUACCGUCAAAGGAAGGGUCGGCUAACUACGUGCCAGCAGCCGCGGUAAUACGUAGGACCCGAGCGUUGUCCGGAAUUACUGGGUAUAAAGGGUGCGCAGGCGGCCGUGUGCGUCAGAGGUGAAAUCUCCGGGCUUAACCCGGAGGGUGCCUUUGAUACGGCAUGGCUUGAGUCCGAGAGAGGUGAUGGAAUUCCUGGUGUAGCAGUGAAAUGCGUAGAUAUCAGGAGGAACACCGGUGGCGAAGGCGGUCACCUGGCUCGGCACUGACGCUUAGGCACGAA